rnacentral:rRNA from 1 species
UACAGAGGGUGCGAGCGUUAAUCGGAAUUACUGGGCGUAAAGCGUGCGUAGACGGUUAUUUAAGUCGGGUGUGAAAGCCACGGGCUCAACCUGGGAAUUGCAUUCGAGACUGAAUAGCUAGGGUACGGUAGAGGGAAGUGGAAUUUCCGGUGUAGCGGUGAAAUGCGUAGAUAUCGGAAGGAACAUCAGUGGCGAAAGCGACUUCCUGGACCAGUACCGACGUUCAGGCACGAAAGCGUGGGGAGCAAACAGG